AGUUAAACAGUAUAUGAGUACGAACAAUUUCCAUUUGUUAGGGUAAUUAGCUA
rnacentral:tRNA from 1 species